GCGCCUGUAGCUCAGUUGGAUAGAGCGCCGGACUUCGAAUCCGUAGGCCGUCCGUUCGAGUCGGACCAGGCGCGCCA
rnacentral:tRNA from 2 species